rnacentral:lncRNA from 1 species
CCUAACCUUAACGAUUCUUGUCCUAAGAGCCCCAGUCUAUCAUCUGAACAAAAACAGCGCUACGCCGAGGCGUUUUGGAGGGAAACUUCUCGUACCUGCUCACUACAAAGGAUGGAAGUAUCAGUGAUUGUAACAGGCGGAUUCAUACUAGCAGAAGGGAUAUUGGAAUAGAUACUUGUACAAUUCCAGACAUUUCGAUUGAAAGCAGAAGCCUACAUGUUCACCCCUUGUCAGGUCUUUGUGCGGGAUGAUUUCAGUCCGGAACGGAACCGCUUGGAGUGUACCGGCAGCAUGAGGUACGACGAGUCCUGUUUGAUCUAUGUCUUCUAGGGGUAGAAUAAGAUUCCCUUGGUUUCAGAGAAACGGAGGUCAAUACUUUUCCCGCUUCGCUCGAAGAAGGGACAAAACUUCCGCGUUUUUCUAGGGGUUAGUUCACCAAAAAUCCGCCACAUGGCGCUAGCUGUACUCCCGGUGGGCGGAGCUUAAGGAAAAUGGCGGCGCCCAUAGAAAUGGGCGGAAAAUUUGAAUAAUUAAUAAAAAUUCGGAAAAAAAUUGGUAAUGAAUCUGGGAUAGUGUAACCCCAUUUCAAUGUCAUAAUACGCAUCCAAGGUUAAAGGAUGAUGCGGUCAUCGACAACCCAAUUAGAAAAACGAAAGAACAAGGGAAAAGUGUGCAACAAUUCUGGAAUGGUGCAUUCUGAUGGUCUCUCUCCUUCACCUUGACGCGCAAAUGACGUUCGCUGGUUACCUGCAUGUUAGAGGCCUCCGUACAGCUCUGUGCAACAUGAUGCAACUAUCCUUUGGCUCGGGAAAACCAAGGGAAUUUUAUUCUACUUCUGGAAGACAUGGAUCAAACAGGACUCGUACGUACCUCAUGCUGCCGGUAAACUCCAAGCGGUUCCGUUCCGGACUGCAAUCAUCCCGCACAAAGACCUGACAAGGGGUGAACA